GACGAACGCUGGCGGCGUGCUUAACACAUGCCAGUCGAACGGAAAGGCCCUGCUUUUGUGGGGUGCUCGAGUGGCGAACGGGUGAGUAGCACGUGAGUAACCUGCCCUUGACUUUGGGAUAACUUCAGGAAACUGGGGCUAAUACCGGAUAGGAGCUCCUGCUGCAUGGUGGGGGUUGGAAAGUUUCGGCGGUUGGGGAUGGACUCGCGGCUUAUCAGCUUGUUGGUGGGGUAGUGGCUUACCAAGGCAUUGACGGGUAGCCGGCCUGAGAGGGUGACCGGGGACCAGGGGACUACGAGCGGGAGGAGUGGGCUACGGGAGGCAGCGGUGGGGAAUCUGGUCCAAUGGGGGGAAGCGUGAUGCAGCGGCGCUGGGGUCGGGAAGACGGCUUGCGGGUGGUAAACAGCUGCCGGUUGUGACGACGCGGGUGUGACGGUAAUGGAAGAAGAAGCACCGGCUAACUACGUG
rnacentral:rRNA from 1 species